rnacentral:rRNA from 1 species
AUUGAACGCUGGCGGCAUGCCUUACACAUGCAAGUCGAACGGCAGCAUGAUCUAGCUUGCUAGAUUGAUGGCGAGUGGCGAACGGGUGAGUAAUACAUCGGAACGUGCCCUGUAGUGGGGGAUAACUAGUCGAAAGAUUAGCUAAUACCGCAUACGACCUGAGGGUGAGAGUGGGGGACCGCAAGGCCUCAUGCUAUAGGAGCGGCCGAUGUCUGAUUAGCUAGUUGGUGGGGUAAAGGCCCACCAAGGCGACGAUCAGUAGCUGGUCUGAGAGGACGAUCAGCCACACUGGGACUGAGACACGGCCCAGACUCCUACGGGAGGCAGCAGUGGGGAAUUUUGGACAAUGGGCGAAAGCCUGAUCCAGCAAUGCCGCGUGUGUGAAGAAGGCCUUCGGGUUGUAAAGCACUUUUGUCCGGAAAGAAAUGGCUCUGGUUAAUACCUGGGGUCGAUGACGGUACCGGAAGAAUAAGGACCGGCUAACUACGUGCCAGCAGCCGCGGUAAUACGUAGGGUCCAAGCGUUAAUCGGAAUUACUGGGCGUAAAGCGCGCGCAGGCGGUUGUGCAAGACCGAUGUGAAAUCCCCGAGCUUAACUUGGGAAUUGCAUUGGUGACUGCACGGCUAGAGUGUGUCAGAGGGGGGUAGAAUUCCACGUGUAGCAGUGAAAUGCGUAGAGAUGUGGAGGAAUACCGAUGGCGAAGGCAGCCCCCUGGGAUAACACUGACGCUCAUGCACGAAAGCGUGGGGAGCAAACAGGAUUAGAUACCCUGGUAGUCCACGCCCUAAACGAUGUCAACUAGUUGUUGGGGAUUCAUUUCCUUAGUAACGUAGCUAACGCGUGAAGUUGACCGCCUGGGGAGUACGGUCGCAAGAUUAAAACUCAAAGGAAUUGACGGGGACCCGCACAAGCGGUGGAUGAUGUGGAUUAAUUCGAUGCAACGCGAAAAACCUUACCUACCCUUGACAUGCCACUAACGAAGCAGAGAUGCAUUAGGUGCUCGAAAGAGAAAGUGGACACAGGUGCUGCAUGGCUGUCGUCAGCUCGUGUCGUGAGAUGUUGGGUUAAGUCCCGCAACGAGCGCAACCCUUGUCUCUAGUUGCUACGAAAGGGCACUCUAGAGAGACUGCCGGUGACAAACCGGAGGAAGGUGGGGAUGACGUCAAGUCCUCAUGGCCCUUAUGGGUAGGGCUUCACACGUCAUACAAUGGUGCAUACAGAGGGUUGCCAAGCCGCGAGGUGGAGCUAAUCCCAGAAAAUGCAUCGUAGUCCGGAUCGUAGUCUGCAACUCGACUACGUGAAGCUGGAAUCGCUAGUAAUCGCGGAUCAGCAUGCCGCGGUGAAUAAGUUCCCGGGUCU